rnacentral:rRNA from 1 species
CCUACGGGUGGCAGCAGUGAGGAAUAUUGGUCAAUGGACGAGAGUCUGAACCAGCCAAGUAGCGUGAAGGAUGACUGCCCUAUGGGUUGUAAACUUCUUUUAUAUGGGAAUAAAAUGUUCCACGGGGGGGAUUUUGUAUGUACCAUAUGAAUAAGGAACGGCUAACUCCGUGCCAGCAGCCGCGGGAAUACGUAGGAUCCGAGCUUUAUACGGAUUUAUUGGGUUUAAAGGGAGAGUAGGUGGAUUGUUAAGUCAGUUGUGAAAGUUUGCGGCUCAACCGUAAAAUUGCAGUUGAAACUGGCAGUCUUGAGUACAGUAGAGGUGGGCGGAAUUCGUGGUGUAGCGGUGAAAUGCUUAGAUAUCACGAAGAACUCCGAUUGCGAAGGCAGUUCACUGGACUGCAACUGACACUGAGGCUCGAAAGUGUGGGUAUCAAACAGGAUUAGAUACCCGAGUAGUC